UACGUAGGAGACGAGCGUUGUCCGGAGUUACUGGGCGUAAAGGGUGCGCAGGUGGCGGCGCGCGUGGGGGGUGAAAUCGCCCGGCUUAACUGGGCGGGGGCCUUCCAGACGGCGUGGCUUGAGCAGCGGAGGGGGACGUGGAAUUCCGGGUGGAGCGGUGAAAUGCGUAGAGAUCCGGAGGAACACCGACGGCGCAGGCAGCGUCCUGGCCGCUUGCUGACACUGAGGCACGAAAGCCAGGGGAGCAAACGGG
rnacentral:rRNA from 1 species